rnacentral:rRNA from 1 species
AGAGUUUGAUCCUGGCUCAGGAUGAACGCUGGCGGCGUGCCUAACACAUGCAAGUCGAGCGAGAAGGAGGAAGCUUGCUUCCAAAUUCUAGCGGCGGACGGGUGAGUAACGCGUGGGCAACCUACCCUGUACAGGGGGAUAACAAUGGGAAACCACUGCUAAUACCCCAUAAUACCUUCUAGGGGCAUCCCUUAAAGGUCAAAGAAUUUCGGUACAGGAUGGGCCCGCGUCUGAUUAGCUAGUUGGUGAGGUAAUGGCUCACCAAGGCGACGAUCAGUAGCCAGCCUGAGAGGGUGAACGGCCACACUGGAACUGAGACACGGUCCAGACUCCUACGGGAGGCAGCAGUGGGGAAUAUUGCACAAUGGGCGAAAGCCUGAUGCAGCAACGCCGCGUGAGCGAUGAAGGCUUUCGGGUCGUAAAGCUCUGUCCUAAGGGAAGAUAAUGACGGUACCUUAGGAGGAAGCCCCGGCUAACUACGUGCCAGCAGCCGCGGUAAUACGUAGGGGGCAAGCGUUAUCCGGAAUCAUUGGGCGUAAAGGGUGCGUAGGCGGCCCUGUGGGUCAGAGGUUAAAGGCUACGGCUCAACCGUAGUAAGCCUUUGAAACUGCAGGGCUUGAGUACAGGAGAGGAGAGUGGAAUUCCUAGUGUAGCGGUGAAAUGCGUAGAUAUUAGGAGGAACACCAGUGGCGAAGGCGAC